CGGAUCCCCGAGCUGGCUCUGAGCCGGGAGGGAGGUUCAGGGGCUCCCUAGUCCUCACACCGCGGCGGUUGGGCUUUUGGGACGGUGUAGAAAUUACAGGAACAGCUCGAAGAGCUCGCCCUCAGGAUUCUUGGGGAUGAGGAGAAACCUUGGGCCAAGCCCUUGCUGAAGAAGCCAGGAGAGCACCCUACACUGAGAGCUAUGAAGACAGCGCUCACAGUCCACAGCCCAGCCGGAGCCCGGAGCUCUUCCGAUUUCCCUCUGAGUUUGUGGACCCUGUGAUCUGUGUUUUUGUGGGCCUCCUCAUCAGGACCAAUGUUCUGGGAUAUUUAUACACUGCACAGGUGUAGAAGUCUCCCUCCCAUGACCUGAUCCCACAGGAAAGAAUGCAACCAGCUCUUCUAGAGCAGUUAAAACAGCAGCAACCCAGGAAGGCUGGCUUCUUUGUUGCUUCUGACAUCAUAAACACAAGGCUGAAUGACAGCCACCAAGAUAGCCAGGACCUAGCCCUGGUGCCUCUGAAUGUACCUUAUGGGGUAAGGAGGACUUUAUGCAUAUCCUGAUGUGGAGAUGAUCAAGAGUUAUCUGGUGACCCAUGAGAUCAGGAGGAUCCUUAUAAGAAGGCAACAGGAAUACAGACUCAGACAGGACCGAAGCACAGGUCUGACCGGUAAAGGAAAGUGGCCGAGUCAUGGUUUUCACGCGCCCUCUAGUGGCAGAAAAAGAUGUGACACCUGAUUCUCCCUGGAGCUUCCAGGAAACCCAGCUGCUGACACUCUGACUUGAGCUCCAU